rnacentral:rRNA from 1 species
AGAGUUUGAUCAUGGCUCAGGAUGAACGCUAGCUACAGGCUUAACACAUGCAAGUCGAGGGGCAGCAUGUUGGUUGCUUGCAACCAAUGAUGGCGACCGGCGCACGGGUGAGUAACGCGUAUCCAACCUACCCCUGUCCAUCGGAUAACCCGUCGAAAGGCGGCCUAACACGAUAUGCGGCUCUCAGCAGGCAUCUAACGAGAACGAAAUGUGAAGGAGAAGGAUGGGGAUGCGUCUGAUUAGCUUGUUGGCGGGGUAACGCCACAAGGCGACGAUCAGUAGGGGUUCUGAGAGGAAGGUCCCCCANAUUGGAACUGAGACACGGUCCAAACUCCUACGGGAGGCA